GUUGAAACACCGAUUCUUGUAAGAUCAUCGAAGUUAAGCAAUGUCGAGCCUGGGCAGUACCUAGAUGGGAGAUCGCUUGUGAAUACCGGGUGCCGCACG